AUUGAACGCUGGCGGCAUGCCUUACACAUGCAAGUCGAACGGCAGCACGGGAGCAAUCCUGGUGGCGAGUGGCGAACGGGUGAGUAAUAUAUCGGAACGUGCCCAGUCGUGGGGAUAACGUAGCGAAAGCUACGCUAAUACCGCAUACGAUCUAUGGAUGAAAGCGGGGGAUCGCAAGACCUCGCGCGAUUGGAGCGGCCGAUAUCAGAUUAGGUAGUUGGUGAGGUAAAGGCUCACCAAGCCGACGAUCUGUAGCUGGUCUGAGAGGACGACCAGCCACACUGGGACUGAGACACGGCCCAGACUCCUACGGAGGCAGCAGUGGGGAAUUUUGGACAAUGGGCGCAAGCCUGAUCCAGCAAUGCCGCGUGCAGGAUGAAGGCUCGG
rnacentral:rRNA from 1 species